GUAAUGCUGUCUUUUUGUCUUGCCUUGCUUUGACUUCUGUCAAGUUUUAAUGUUCCUCAAAGCUUCAAAUCAUCUUUUCCUACCCAUAUGAUACUUUUAAUCAUUUAACCAGAUAAAAGGAAGUAGAAAAUCUUCCAGUUUGUUGAAUUGUAUACCAAGGCAUUUCUGUAAUAUUCCGUUCAAUAUCAUAGAACCAUGAUGUUCAUUCAUUCAUUCACAUAUUUACUCUGCGUCCAGAACUCUUCCAGGAACCUUAAGUGAUCUCAGAGCAGACAAGAUUCUUCUUGGAGUUUAAAUUCUAAUGGAGGCCAUCAUUAGUCCAUUGAUACAUAAGUGAAUAAUACAGUGUUCCUUAAGGAAACAAGUGGAGGAAAUAAUAGAUCAGAGUAGUCAAGAUUAUUUGUAAAGGAGUAAAUCAGAAGUUGACACAUUGGAAAAAAGUCUCAGUACCAGUCAUGUUACAGAGAAAAUCACGGGAGUCCCAAUAUACUCAAUAUUCACUAAUUUGCAGGCAGUUAAUAGAAUGUAAAUCAACUGAAGGGAUUAAGAUUGAGCUGGCUCUAUAUUAUGAACUCUGGACUCCAAAGGAAAAAAAAAAGUUAACUCAAAGAAGAAAUGUUAAAGGCUCUGUGUUAAUCAACAUGUGGCAAAGGAUAUGAAAAAUUAGAACAAAAGUGUUAGGGGAGCAAAGCGGGUCUCUGAGAUGAAAUGAUUGUUCUGUUUCUGACAGAAUGACUGGGAGGUGAAGACAGAUGUUUGGGAAACAUAGACUUGUGUCUUGGGUAGAAGAACAAGCCACUAGGAAAGCAUUAAAAAGUGAUCAGAAAUGUCAAAAAGUAAAAAGGAAGAAAAAAAUAAGGUGAAAGCAUCAUAAAAGAAUUAUGAAGCUGGUGAAAAAAUUACUGAUGAAAUGUGUAGAACAAAAAUUGUAAAGAACAAUUAGAAAUUUCGGUGGGAAAGUCCAAUUCCACUGUGUUGUAGAUAUGUAUUUUCUUAAGCUUUAUGUAAUUAUGACCUGAGAUCAAGAUGGACAGCAAAGAAACGUGAUGCUAUUUUAUCAAGCAAAUAGCAGCUGCAUUGUUUUAUUUGAAGGUUUCACCGACCAAGAUUCUCUAAGCACUUAGCCGGCUGAUGCAUGAUGAUACCAAAAAUAAAUGUUCCUCAAUGAUAUUGAAGGA
rnacentral:lncRNA from 1 species